AUUUCUUUUUAAUGAGAAAAAUAUAAAAUUAUAUUUACGAAUAUUUGUUAAUGAUAUGGGCAAAGUGGGAACCAGAUUAUAAACAUAUGACCUAUUUAUAUAAAAAAGACAUGGAAGUUAGAUCAUCUGGAAGGGAGAAUUAAGUAUUCCAAGAAAACUGAGAAUGAGGGUUAAUAUACAGAAAACACUUAUGUAGCCUUCUAUCACUCAGGCGAACUGUGAUGGCUAUUUUUUCUCUUCCUUCUCUACGGCAGCUUUCCAAAAAGACGCAUACCUACUGCUCUGAGGGGACUAAGCCCUGAAAAUUGAGCUACCUGUCGAACCCAGGCCUGGUUUUGUGAGUUCCAAACAGGCUAGAGCCUACCUGCAGGAAGAAGGAGUUCUCUUCUGCUUUAAGUCUCAUCUGGGGAGUGCCCCAUGUCUGGAGGCUCCUGGGGUCCUCACUGGAUGAGAGGAGCAAAAACAAAAACAACAAAUUCUGCCCACAAAAUGCUUAUUACAAAGGGAAAGAGAGAAGGUUUUCGGUGGAGAGAGCUGGAAAACACCACCUUCGUCAAAUGAUCAAAGUGCACAUCAUUAGUAACGGGACAAAUGAAAACAACAUACCCCCGGUAAGACACAAUAAGAGCAUAAUAUCAUUCCUGUGAUGUGUAACCUGAAUCUAAUCAUUGAGAAAACAUCAGACAAACCUAAAUUGACAGACAUUCUACAAAAUAACUAGAACUGCAAUCUUCAAGGUUAUGAAUGUCAAGAAAAGACUGAAGUAAACUGUGUCAGAUUAAAAAGGAGAAUAAAGAGACAUGACAACCAAAUGCAACGUGUAAUGCUGAACUGGCUUCUUUGCUGAAAAAAGACCUACUUGGGAUAACUGGUGAAAUUUGCAUGGGGUCUGAAGACUGGAUGGUUGUAAUGUGUUGAUAUCAGUUUCCUGAUUUUGAUGGCUUUAUUGUGGCUAUGUUCUUGUGUUUAGGAAAUACACACUGAAGUACUCAGUGGUGAUGGGUUAUCAUGUCAGUGACUUGGUAUUAAACAGAGGGAAGAAAAUUCUUUAUACUAAUCUUACAACUUUUCCAUGGGUUUCAGACUGUUUUGAAAAAUUUAUGUUCUAGAGGAAGAGAAGAGUAUGGCACUGGAAGGCCGAUUGCAAUCUGUGUAUGGGCAGGAUUGCAAUCUGUGUAUGUUGCCUAGAGGGUUUCUUUGUACCUUGCUAAGGCAGAGGGCUGGCUUUUUCCCUGGAAACUUCACUCUUGCUUUCCAAGGCGUCUGGUGCCUCUAAUUCCUGAGCCUUUCUAGGGUGCUGCAGGGAUAUUGACUUGCUUCUUGUCAGUGUCUCCUUUGCAAGUACCCUCUGCACUCGUUUGAUUUUCCCUGAAAGUAAAGUCUAAAAUAAGAACCUGAGUGGAGGUAGUUUAUUUGAGGGAUGACCCCAGGAAGCAAGAGUGAAGAAGUAGAGAAAAGCUAAUCAAAGGAAGAAGGAAAAGCCAAUGGAAAGUUACAUUACUAAGGUCAUCACUGAGGCAGUUGGGGGCUGAAAAGGGAAGAGUAUGCCUCUCUGAAUUGUCUGCCCAAGGCACUGGACACUGAAGCAUUCAUCCUCUCUUUCUGUGGGCCCCCUUUGGUUGAGGACUGCCCCCCACUGGCAUUAAUUUGGGGAGCCCCAUCUCCCAAGUGCCUUUUCUCUUACACAUGAGCCAAGCAGCUUUCAUAAUAUUGAAGAAGCUCCAAGGCAAAGAGAGAAAAGAUUCGGAUUGCAUGUAUGAGGCACGACACUAUCAGCACAGGUGAGUUUCAGCUGUGCCUAAAGUCUCAGAUGGGCUGAGAAUAUACGUAUGAGGUAUCAGGCAAAUCUGCUGUAGCAGCUUUGCCUUCCUCCAAUUUCUUGAGACGAUUUCUCCACCUGCUUUCUCUAUUUCAGAUUUCUCCUUGUGUUCCCAAAGAUGGAGUUUGUGUUUUUGUUUGUAAGUCUCCUUGUUGGCAAUGGGCUGAUGUCUGAGUAAAGUAAGGGAAAGGACUUUAAUUUUGCUAUCUUGUCCUCAGAAGUCAACCAAUUGAUAACUAAUAUAACACUUGUUUUUAAUGUAUCCAAUACUUGAUUGCACCACUGUGAAUGAUUCCCAAACCCCACCCCCAGCUCUUCUAGUUGUCUCAUUUCUCAGGAUUUCUUUGGCAUUGCUGGUUAGUGAAGUGAGAUUUUCUCAUUCUAGGCAAACCACAGGUUGGACUCCUCCCAUCCAAGAGGGAAUGCAAUUCAGGCUCCACAAUUUUCACAGAAGCUCGUCAGCUUUAUUAUCUAUUGGUCUUAUACAUUUUUUUCUGUUUCUCUCUUUUUCUCCCUCUCUCUCUAGUGCCUGUUGGUCUUACAGUUUUUUCUUUUUCUCUCCCUCUCUUUCUUUUUCAGAUGGGAUCUCACUGUGUUGGCCAGACUGGUAUUGAACUCCUGGCCUCAAGUGAUUGUCCCACCUUGGCCUCUCAAAGAGCUGGGAUUACAAAUGUGGGCCACUGCCCCUGGCCCUUGUCUUAUAGUUAAAGCCUAUCUGUGGUCACCAAAUAGAUGUCAGAAGUUCUUGUCAAGAAGCAAAACUCAGACUUAAGUGUAAAUACCUUCUUAUAAGAAACACAGUUGAAAUUUAAAAGACCAGUGAGAAUGGUGACUGAGAAGGGAACAUGCCACUCACAGA